AUACGGAGGGUGCAAGCGUUAAUCGGAAUUACUGGGCGUAAAGCGCGCGUAGGCGGAUUGUUAAGUCUCAUGUGAAAGCCCUGGGCUCAACCUGGGAACUGCAUGGGAUACUGGCAAUCUAGAAUACAGUAGAGGGUAGUGGAAUUUCAGGUGUAGCGGUGAAAUGCGUAGAGAUCUGAAGGAACAUCAGUGGCGAAGGCGACUACCUGGACUGAUAUUGACGCUGAGGUGCGAAAGCGUGGGGAGCAAACGGGAUUAGAAACCCUAGUAGUCC
rnacentral:rRNA from 1 species